rnacentral:snRNA from 1 species
AAGUGUUACAAUUCUUUUAGAAUUUGUCUAGCAUGUCUUCCAGUCCCUACCAGAAGGCCCCA